AGCGGAAAAAUGGCCAAAAAACGGGUGGGCUAUAGCCUUGGUGGGGGGCGCGGGCGAAGUUCGUCCGCUGGACUCGGAAUGGGGCGAGACUUUGCGAGGGGCCUAGGGGUGCCAGAAAUAAUCCGCGGGCAAAGCCGCGCCCAAAAAUAAGCGCCCGAAGGUCGUGGUGCCAAAACCCCCCAGCGGAAAAAUGGCCAAAAAACGGGUGGGCUAUAGCCUUGGUGGGGGGCGUGGGCGAAGUUCGUCCGCCGGACUCGGAAUGGGGCGAGACUUUGCGAGGGGCGUCGGGGUGCCCCCAGGAAGUCGCGGGCACAGCCGCGUCCAAAAAUAAGCGCCCGAAGGUCGUGGUGCCAAAACCCCCCAGCGGAAAAAUGGCCAAAAAACGGGUGGGCUAUAGCCUUGGUGGGGGGCGCGGGCGAAGUUCGUCCGCCGGACUCGGAAUGGGGCGAGACUUUGCGAGGGGCCUCGGGGUGCCAAAAAUAAGCCGCGGGCAAAGCCGCGCCCAAAAAUAAGCGCCCGAAGGUCGUGGUGCGAAAACCCCCCAGCGGAAAAAUGGCCAAAAAACGGGUGGGCUAUAGCCUUGGUGGGGGGCGCGGGCGAAGUUCGUCCGCCGGACUCGGAAUGGGGCGAGACUUUGCGAGGGGCCUCGGGGCGCCAAAAAUAAGCCGCGGGCAAAGCCGCGCCCAAAAAUAAGCGCCCGAAGGUCGUGGUGCCAAAACCCCCCAGCGGAAAAAUGGCCAAAAAACGGGUGGGCUAUAGCCUUGGUGGGGGGCGUGGGCGAAGUUCGUCCGCCGGACUCGGAAUGGGGCGAGACUUUGCGAGGGGCGUCGGGGUGCCCCCAGGAAGUCGCGGGCACAGCCGCGUCCAAAAAUAAGCGCCCGAAGGUCGUGGUGCCAAAACCCCCCAGCGGAAAAAUGGCCAAAAAACGGGUGGGCUAUAGCCUUGGUGGGGGGCGCGGGCGAAGUUCGUCCGCCGGACUCGGAAUGGGGCGAGACUUUGCGAGGGGACUCGGGGUGCACGCGGGAAGUUGCGGGCACAGCCGCGUCCAAAAAUAAGCGCCCGAAGGUCGUGGUGCCAAAACCCCCCAGCGGAAAAAUGGCCAAAAAACGGGUGGGCUAUAGCCUUGGUGGGGGGCGCGGGCGAAGUUCGUCCGCCGGACUCGGAAUGGGGCGAGACUUUGCGAGGGGCCUCGGGGUGCCAAAAAUAAGCCGCGGGCAAAGCCGCGCCCAAAAAUAAGCGCCCGAAGGUCGUGGUGCGAAAACCCCCCAGCGGAAAAAUGGCCAAAAAACGGGUGGGCUAUAGCCUUGGUGGGGGGCGCGGGCGAAGUUCGUCCGCCGGACUCGGAAUGGGGCGAGACUUUGCGAGGGGCCUCGGGGUGCCCGCGGGAAGUCGCGGGCACAGCCGCGUCCAAAAAUAAGCGCCCGAAGGUCGUGGUGCCAAAACCCCCAGCGGAAAAAUGGCCAAAAAACGGUUGGCUAUAGCCUUGGUGGGGGGCGCGGGCGAAGUUCGUCCGCCAGACUCGGAAUGGGGCGAGACUUUGCGAGGGGCCUCGGGGUGCCAAAAAUAAGGCGCGGGCAAAGCCGCGCCCAAAAAUAAGCGCCCAAAGGUCGUGUUGCCAAAACCCCCCAGCGGAAAAAUGGCCAAAAAACGGGUGGGCUAUAGCCUUGGUGGUGGGCGCGGGCGAAGUUCGUCCGCCGGACUCGGAAUGGGGCGAGACUUUGCGAGGGGCCUCGGGGUGCCCGCGGG
rnacentral:lncRNA from 1 species